rnacentral:rRNA from 1 species
UACAGAGGGUGCGAGCGUUAAUCGGAAUUACUGGGCGUAAAGCGCGCGUAGGCGGCUUUGCAAGUCGGGUGUGAAAUCCCCAGGCUUAACCUGGGAACUGCAUUCGAGACUGCAUUGCUAGAGUAUGGGAGAGGGAAGUGGAAUUUCCGGUGUAGCGGUGAAAUGCGCAGAUAUCAGGAGGAACACCAAUGGCGAAGGCAGCUCACUGGGACGGUAUUGACGCUGAGACGCGAAAGCGUGGGGGAGCGAACAGG